rnacentral:rRNA from 1 species
GAAUUCGCCCUUAGAGUUUGAUCCUGGCUCAGGACGAACGCUGGCGGCGUGCCUAACACAUGCAAGUCGAGCGGAGACAGUGAGUAGCUUGCUAUGAGCUGUUUUAGCGGCGGACGGGUGAGUAACGCGUGAGCAACCUUUCCCAGACAGGGGAAUAACACACCGAAAGGUGUACUAAUACCGCAUAAGACCACGGGAUCACAUGGUUCUGGGGUAAAAGAAUUAUCGGUUUGGGGUGGGCUCGCGUCCGAUUAGGUAGUUGGUGAGGUAACGGCCCACCAAGCCGACGAUCGGUAGCCGACCUGAGAGGGUGAUCGGCCACAUUGGGACUGAGACACGGCCCAAACUCCUACGGGAGGCAGCAGUGGGGAAUAUUGGGCAAUGGAGGAAACUCUGACCCAGCAACGCCGCGUGGAGGAAGAAGGUUUUCGGAUCGUAAACUCCUGUCCUUGGAGACGAGUAGAAGACGGUAUCCAAGGAGGAAGCCCCGGCUAACUACGUGCCAGCAGCCGCGGUAAUACGUAGGGGGCAAGCGUUGUCCGGAAUAAUUGGGCGUAAAGGGCGCGUAGGCGGCUCGGUAAGUCUGGAGUGAAAGUCCUGCUUUUAAGGUGGGAAUUGCUUUGGAUACUGUCGGGCUUGAGUGCAGGAGAGGUUAGUGGAAUUCCCAGUGUAGCGGUGAAAUGCGUAGAGAUUGGGAGGAACACCAGUGGCGAAGGCGACUAACUGGACUGUAACUGACGCUGAGGCGCGAAAGUGUGGGGAGCAAACAGGAUUAGAUACCCUGGUAGUCCACACUGUAAACGAUGAAU